GGGAAUUUUCCGCAAUGGGCGCAAGCCUGACGGAGCAAGACCGCGUGCGGGAGGACAGCCUAUUGGUUGUAAACCGCUUUUGAUAGGGAAGAAGCUCUGACGGUACCUAUCGAAUCAGCAUCGGCUAACUCCGUGCCAGCAGCCGCGGUAAUACGGAGGAUGCAAGCGUUAUCCGGAAUUAUUGGGCGUAAAGCGUCCGUAGGUGGUUGUUCAAGUCUGCUGUUAAAGCGUGCGGCUUAACCGCAUACCAGCAGUGGAAACUGGGCGACUAGAGUGCGGUAGGGGUCAGGGGAAUUCCCAGUGUAGCGGUGAAAUGCGUAGAUAUUGGGAAGAACACCGGUGGCGAAAGCGCCUGACUGGACCUGCACUGACACUGAGGGACGAAAGCUAGGGGAGCGAAAGGGAUU
rnacentral:rRNA from 1 species